rnacentral:rRNA from 1 species
UGACACCUACGGGAGGCAGCAGUGGGGAAUAUUGCACAAUGGGGGGAACCCUGAUGCAGCGACGCCGCGUGAGUGAAGAAGGUUUUCGGAUUGUAAACCUCUGUCUUCGGUGACGAAACGAGACGGUAGCCGAGGAGGAAGCCACGGCUAACUACGUGCCAGCAGCCGCGGUAAUACGUAGGUGGCAAGCGUUGUCCGGAAUUACUGGGUGUAAAGGGAGCGUAGGCGGGAAAGCAAGUUGAAUGUUUAAGGUAUGGGCUCAACCUGUACAAGCGUUCAAAACUGUUUUUCUUGAGUGGAGUAGG